UUAUAUGGAGAGUUUGAUCCUGGCUCAGGAUGAACGCUGGCGGCGUGCCUAAUACAUGCAAGUCGAGCGAACAGAUAAGGAGCUUGCUCCUUUGACGUUAGCGGCGGACGGGUGAGUAACACGUGGGUAACCUACCUAUAAGACUGGAAUAACUCCGGGAAACCGGGGCUAAUGCCGGAUAACAUGUUGAACCGCAUGGUUCUACAGUGAAAGGCGGCUUUGCUGUCACUUAUAGAUGGACCCGCGCCGUAUUAGCUAGUUGGUGAGGUAACGGCUCACCAAGGCAACGAUACGUAGCCGACCUGAGAGGGUGAUCGGCCACACUGGAACUGAGACACGGUCCAGACUCCUACGGGAGGCAGCAGUAGGGAAUCUUCCGCAAUGGGCGAAAGCCUGACGGAGCAACGCCGCGUGAGUGAUGAAGGUCUUCGGAUCGUAAAACUCUGUUAUUAGGGAAGAACAAAUGCGUAAGUAACUGUGCGCGUCUUGACGGUACCUAAUCAGAAAGCCACGGCUAACUACGUGCCAGCAGCCGCGGUAAUACGUAGGUGGCAAGCGUUAUCCGGAAUUAUUGGGCGUAAAGCGCGCGUAGGCGGUUUUUUAAGUCUGAUGUGAAAGCCCACGGCUCAACCGUGGAGGGUCAUUGGAAACUGAAAAACUUGAGUGCAGAAGAGGAAAGUGGAAUUCCAUGUGUAGCGGUGAAAUGCGCAGAGAUAUGGAGGAACACCAGUGGCGAAGGCGACUUUCUGGUCUGUAACUGACGCUGAUGUGCGAAAGCGUGGGGAUCAA
rnacentral:rRNA from 1 species